rnacentral:lncRNA from 1 species
GUUGGUGAAAGCAAAUAUUUGGGGAUCCUCCAUUUCAACAUUGUGUUGCUUUUUUCUUUUUUAAAAGAAAUAAUGUUGGACGGGAUGGUAUUUCCAAAAAUGUGUUUUUACUUUGGUUCUAGUUGCCUUAAAGAAAUUUGUCUAUCUAUUAUAAGGGACACAAGAGGCCUCAAAUAUUUUGGGGCUUACUUUAUGGUUUUUUUUAGUGGGUUGGGAUUUCAACUUGAAGUUUGUG